rnacentral:rRNA from 1 species
AUUGAACGCUGGCGGCAGGCCUAACACAUGCAAGUCGAGCGGAGCGGCGGACGGGUGCGUAAUGCCUAGGAAUCUGCCUGGUAGUGGGGGAUAACGUCCGGAAAAGGGCGCUAAUACCGCAUACUAUCAGAUGAGCCUAGGUCGGAUUAGCUAGUUGGUGGGGUAAAGGCAUACCAGGUCGUCGACCCGUAACUGGUCUGAGAGGAUGAUCCUUCACACUGGAACUGAGACACGGUCCAGACUCCGCGGGGAGGCAGCAGUGGGGAAUAUUGGACAAUGGGCUAAAGCCUGAUCCAGCCAUGCCGCUUGUGUGAAGAAGGUCUUCGGAUUGUAAAGCACUUUAAGUUGGGAGGCGUUACCAACAGAAUAAGCACCGGCUAACUACGUGCCAGCAGCCGCGGUAAUUC